AGAUUGAACGCUGGCGGCAGGCCUAACACAUGCAGGUCGAGCGGCAGCACGGGUACUUGUACCUGGUGGCGAGCGGCGGACGGGUGAGUAAUGCCUAGGAAUCUGCCUGAUAGUGGGGGAUAACGUUCGGAAACGGACGCUAAUACCGCAUACGUCCUACGGGAGAAAGUGGGGGAUCUUCGGACCUCACGCUAUCAGAUGAGCCUAGGUCGGAUUAGCUAGUUGGUAGGGUAAAGGCCUACCAAGGCUACGAUCCGUAACUGGUCUGAGAGGAUGAUCAGUCACACUGGAACUGAGACACGGUCCAGACUCCUACGGGAGGCAGCAGUGGGGAAUAUUGGACAAUGGGCGAAAGCCUGAUCCAGCCAUGCCGCGUGUGUGAAGAAGGUCUUCGGAUUAGUAAAGCACUUUAAGUUGGGAGAAGGUUGUAACUUAAUACGUUGCAACUUGACGUUACGACAGAAUAAGCACCGGUCUAACUUCGUGCAGCAGCCG
rnacentral:rRNA from 1 species